rnacentral:rRNA from 1 species
CGGGUGAGUAACACGUAAGAAUUUGCCUUUAGGAGGGGGACAACAACUGGAAACGGUUGCUAAUACCCCAUAUGCUUUCGAGUGAAACGGUUUUUCCGCCUAGAGAGAAGCUUGCGGCUGAUUAGCUUGUUGGUAAGGUAAUGGCUUACCAAGGCGACGAUCAGUAUCUGGUUUGAGAGGACGAUCAGACACACUGGAACUGAGACACGGUCCAGACUCCUACGGGAGGCAGCAGUGGGGAAUUUUCCGCAAUGGGCGAAAGCCUGACGGAGCAAUACCGCGUGAGGGAUGACUGCCCACGGGCCGUAAACCUCUUUUUUCAGGGAGGAAUAAAAUGACGUUACCUGAAGAAUAAGCAUCCCCUAACUCCGUGCCAGCAGCCGCGGUAAGACGGAGGAUGCAAGUGUUAUCCGGAAUCACUGGGCGUAAAGCGUCUGUAGGUUGUUUAAUAAGUCAACUGUUAAAUCUUGAGGCUCAACCUCGAAACCGCAGUCGAAACUAUUAGACUAGAGUAUAGUAGGGGUAAAGGGAAUUUCCAGUGGAGCGGUGAAAUGCGUAGAGAUUGGAAAGAACACCGAUGGCGAAGGCACUUUACUGGGCUAUUACUAACACUGAGAGACGAAAGCUAGGGUAGCAAAUGGGAUUAGAUACCCCAGUAGUCCUAGCUGUAAACAAUGGAUACUAGAUGUUGAACCAGAUCGACCUGUGCAGUAUUUAAAGCUAACGCGUUUAAGUAUCCCCGCCCUG